AACGAACGCUGGCGGCAGGCCUAACACAUGCAAGUCGAACGACCUGUUUACAGGGAGUGGCGCACGGGUGAGUAACGCGUGGGAAACUACCCUUUGGUUCGGAAUAACUAUUGGAAACGAUAGCUAAUACCGUAUAGUCCCUCCGGGGUAAAGAUUUAUCGCCAAAGGAUGUGCCCGCGUUAGAUUAGCUAGUUGGUGAGGUAAGAGCUCACCAAGGCGACGAUCUAUAGCUGGUCUGAGAGGAUGAUCAGCCACACUGGGACUGAGACACGGCCCAG
rnacentral:rRNA from 1 species